rnacentral:rRNA from 1 species
CGGGUGAGUAACACGUAUCCAACCUGCCGUCUACUCUUGGACAGCCUUCUGAAAGGAAAGAUUAAUACAAGAUGGCAUCAUGAGUCCGCAUGUUCACAUGAUUAAAGGUAUUCCGGUAGACGAUGGGGAUGCGUUCCAUUAGAUAGUAGGCGGGGUGACGGCCCACCUAGUCUUCGAUGGAUAGGGGUUCUGAGAGGAAGGUCCCCCACAUUGGAACUGAGACACGGUCCAA